CACAUGACUGUUGUAAAAUUACACUAUCUGCUUAUGUAGGAAGAGAGAAACGCAGUCAUUAUUUAUGUGGUUCAAUGAUCCCGUUUACGUGAAAGAUUUGAGAAAACUGGGGAUGAAAUCACAUGGUUUAGUGAACAGAAUGUGGUUUGAUGUGGAAUUUUGCACCCUGUGAAUGAAUAGUUGUGCUGGCACCACAGUGCAGUGUGUUCCUGCGCCCAGACAUUGCGUUUUACUUUUCUACUACAAGAAGGAUCGAGUGAAAACAACAGAUUUGCUUUCAGAUGUAUCUUUCCCUGUUUAAGUCCGUUACUGAGGUGAGUAGUGACUUCAGAUACCUUUGUGCCUUUAAACAUUUUUAUGACAAAGUCUGGAUCCCUUCAAUUUCUUAGAUAAAAAAAAAAAAAAGGAAAAAAAAAGACAUUCAAAAAGCUUUGUUUUAAUCUCAUUUUCACCUCUCUGUAUGAGCUUUCCAAAUCUCCCAACAGAUCUUAUUAGUGUGGAGAUUUUGUAAAGUUCCAGUCACAAGAUUCAUUUGAUUUUGAGCAAAACCUAACCUUUUAGCAAAACAAAAUGUACAGUAAUAAUAACCAUAAUUAUAAUAAAAAGGAAAAGAGAAUUUGUGGCCUAUGUGAC
rnacentral:lncRNA from 1 species